CCGCCAACAGCUCUUCGCCCACUGCGCCUGCGCUCCCGCCGCCGCCCGCUCCCGUGCGGCGUGGACGUUCGCCCACCGCCCCCGUCACAGAAGGCUCAAGCACUAAGCAUGCGCUGCCUCCUCCGUCGAGAACAAAGCGCCGAAGGGAACUGAUGCGCAUGCCCAACCGUCGCCCGCUGUCGUCCGUGCGCACGCGCAACCUUCAGCCCGCGAAGACGCGCGCGCGAGACUCUCGUUGCGCACGCGUCGCGCUUAGCGGCGCCUUAUUAAGUCACAGCCCCGCCGAAAACAAAGUACCAAGGGACCUCAAUGCGCCUGCGCAGCCCUCUAACAAGAUGGAGUCCAGCCAGAAGUGGAGUCAUAGCUGCAAGAAGGGGCAGGGUCUUGCUGAACCCAGGCUCUGAGUCAGCUGUAUCCGGUGUUCCACCCCUUCUACAAAGAAGCAGAUCAAUGGGUCAUUCAUACCUUUCACUGGAGCUACCUGGAGCCCGGCCAGAUGAAUCAGUCUACUAAACCUGUUCUCCCUUCUGUGUGCCUGUUGCUCACCUCUACCUAUGUUCUCGGGCCUUCUUCCAAUUCCCUUCUACCUCCCUCCUCUCAUCCUGUUAGGAUGAAGCUUGAGAACUAUUUCCAUUCCCAGAAUACAUAGUAUGUUGUUUUUGUUGGGUAUUUGUCUGGCAUUGGGAACUGACAUCAUAAUAAGUCACCAAUGGCAGUAAGGUAUGUAAACACCCCAGGUCUGGCUCCACUCAUCUCACUGGAGUAACCCCCUGUGGAAUUCCAACGAGAUACACUAGAAUAAUGGAGAUCAGGAUCUGGGGCCUGAUCCGAAGCCCAGUGUAGUCAGCUGGAGUCAUUGAUGUCAGUGGGCUUUGGAUCAGGCCUCAGUCCCCUGAUCUUACCCCCUUACUCCAGCCAUCUAAACUUUCUCUUUGAAUCAGUGCUUUGGUAAAUGCCAAGGGAAGAAGCGAGACUGUUCAGCUUUCUCAGAGUUAUUAUUUCAGGCUGCCUGUAGACUCAUGCUUGGUUACAUUUGUCAUGUCUUCAAGGUUUCCUUUGCAACCAUAAGGGCUAGACGCAUUUUUUAAAAAUGAAAACUGGGAUUCAGGAGCACAAUUGUGCAUAAGAGGUGAUUUCCAUGGCAAACGCCACAGCUGUGGGAUACAUGAGGGCCAGUGUUAUGACCCCUUGUGCCACCCCAAAUCAUUUAUCCCCUCUAAUGUAUCUCUACAGUUCUUUUCAUGAACCGAAAGAAGCAGCAUGACAAGUCUAUUUGCCCUCUUUGUAUCCUGCUCUUUCCAGUGCUCUCCACCUUCCGUAAUUACUAGCUGCUGGCUUCUAGCACAAAUCAAACUUCUCCGCUCGGUGAACAACACAACCAUGCUUUUCUCCAGGGUUUAUGGUAACUCGUUUUUCCUUCUUCCUGGCACAAGUCCCUCAGAGCAGUGACUACUAUGUUAUCUUUGGUUUCUGUCUUGCAGUUGUUUUAUGUUGGCCAACAUGUGGUUUCAUGUUUUUAUCACAAGAUACGGAACUGACAGUCUCUUUCUGACCUGCCCUACAUUUCAGAUGCAACUCUGACAGGUACCGAUGCCUCAGAAAUAAUUUAGAGCAGCAGGUAAAGAUCAAUAUAUAUUUGAUUCAAAACAGAGUAGGGAAUGCCUAGCCCACCUGCCCUAUGGAAUCUCCUCUGAAGUGCACAUGGGGUCUCAGAGAACAUUAUGUAGGACAUGUGCUGUGAGAUGGGCCAGGAAUGAGAUAAUUUGAGUCAAUACUGAAGGAUGUAGUGUUCUAAACAGUCUUUAAGGUAUUGGCACUAGGCCUUUAAGAAUUGACUUAGUAUGUAAACCGUCCAUCAAGAACAUAACUUCCUGUUAUCUAGUAAGAUCUGCCAAGAUCCCUAAUCACCGAACAGAAUGGAAUUAAAUACACAACUUGUAUUGUAAGAAAGUGCAUGAUCUCUGCUGCUUUUCAUGAUAUGCCAAAGCAUGACUCUUAAGUGUGGCCCCUUCCUGGGUGGAACGUGGUUGCUGAGUAAAAUUGCACAGUAACAUCACUCAACAGUUCAGCACAGGAAGUGAGGACAAGCAGCAUCUUCCAUUGGAACUGCAAGGAGGAUUUAGAGAGGCAGAAUGUAAUUACUUAAAUUGGAAUUUGGCCAGGAACUUGGACCCUGUGUUUUCAGAGCCAGAGGUCCUGAACUCUCCUGCAGUCAACUUGCAGUCCUGCACAGUGAAAGUAAGUGGAUUACUUGACAACUGCGGAAUCUUUUAAAUGGUCGUGCUGCUGCCUGUGCUGUCCCUGUUGUGUAGAUAAUAAACAGGGGACUUUGUUCCC